CCCACUUCCUCCUUCAUCUCCUCAAUCCUCCCGCUGCCUCGGGCACAGGGGAGCAGGGUGGCGGCAGGAUGCCCAGCAUCUUCGCCUACCAGAGCUCUGAGGUGGACUGGUGUGAGGGCAACUUCCAGCACUCGGCGCUGGUGGCUGAGUUCUACAACACGUUCAGCAAUGUCACCUUCUUCAUCUUCGGGCCCCUCAUGAUGUUCCUGAUGCACCCCUACGCCCAGAAGCGCACACGCUUCACCUACGUCACCUGCAUGCUCUUCAUGGUCAUAGGCAUGUUUUCCAUGUACUUCCACAUGACGCUCAGCUUCCUGGGGCAGCUGCUGGACGAGAUCUCCAUCCUUUGGUUUCUGGCCAGUGGUUACAGCAUCUGGUUGCCUCGCUGCUACUUCCCUGCCUUUGUAAACAGAAGCAGAAAUCAGUUCACCAGCUUCGUCUUCAUCACCACCGUGGUCAGCACCUUCUUGACCUUCCUGAAACCUACCGUCAAUGCCUACGCCCUCAACUGCAUUGGCCUUCACAUCCUCUACAUUGUGUUCAAGGAAUAUAAGAAGACCAGCAACAAGGACAUUCAGCACGUGAUCAAGGUCUCUGUUGUCUUUUGGUUGCUUGCUAUAACUAGCUGGAUCAGUGACCGUGUCCUCUGCAGCUUCUGGCAACGGAUCCACUUUCCCUACCUGCACAGCAUCUGGCAUGUCCUCAUCAGCUUCACCUUCCCCUACAUCAUGGUCACCAUGGCCAUGGUGGACGCAAGGUACGAGAUGACCAAGGAGACGGUCAGGCUGCGCUACUGGCCCCGGGACAGCUGGCCCGUGGGGCUGCCCUACGUGGAGCUGGGCGAGGACGCCAAGGACUGCUGAGGUCGACCAGCACCCCUGUGCCAGCUGGCGAGAGCCCCCCCCCCUCCAGCUCCCUCCCUGCUUCCUGUCCUGCAUGGCCCCGGCUCCGUCUCCGAGGCAGGGGAUGGACGAAGGUGCCUCUCUGUGCUCUGCUUCCAAUGACCCUGCAGUGGCUGCCUCCAUCCCCUGCCCUUGACCUCCCUCCACGACGACGUCUCUGUAGUCACAUGUGUUGGGGUUGGGCUGUGGUCAUGUGACAUCUACUG